GAUGAACGCUGGCGGCGUGCCUAAUACAUGCAAGUCGAGCGAACAGACGAGGAGCUUGCUCCUCUGACGUUAGCGGCGGACGGGUGAGUAACACGUGGAUAACCUACCUAUAAGACUGGGAUAACUUCGGGAAACCGGAGCUAAUACCGGAUAAUAUAUUGAACCGCAUGGUUCAAUAGUGAAAGACGGUUCUGCUGUCACUUAUAGAUGGAUCCGCGCCGCAUUAGCUAGUUGGUAAGGUAACGGCUUACCAAGGCGACGAUGCGUAGCCGACCUGAGAGGGUGAUCGGCCACACUGGAAUUGAGACACGGUCCAGACUCCUACGGGAGGCAGCAGUAGGGAAUCUUCCGCAAUGGGCGGAAGCCUGACGGAGCAACGCCGCGUGAGUGAUGAAGGUCUUCGGAUCGUAAAACUCUGUUAUUAGGGAAGAACAAAUGUGUAAGUAACUAUGCACGUCUUGACGGUACCUAAUCAGAAAGCCACGGCUAACUACGUG
rnacentral:rRNA from 1 species